GCUGCUCUCAGUGGUAGAGUACUUGCUUAGCAUGCAUGAGGCACUGGGUUCGAUCCUCAGCACCA
rnacentral:tRNA from 1 species